rnacentral:rRNA from 1 species
CUACGGGCGGCUGCAGUGGGGAAUAUUGCACAAUGGGCGCAGGCCUGAUGCAGCCAUGCCGCGUGUAUGAAGAAGGCCUUCGGGUUGUAAAGUACUUUCAGCGGGGAGGAAGGGAGUAAAGUUAAUACCUUUGCUCAUUGACGUUACCCGCAGAAGAAGCACCGGCUAACUCCGUGCCAGCAGCCGCGGUAAUACGGAGGGUGCAAUCGUUAAUCGGAAUUACUGGGCGUAAAGCGCACGCAGGCGGUUUGUUAAGUCAGAUGUGAAAUCCCCGGGCUCAACCUGGGAACUGCAUCUGAUACUGGCAAGCUUGAGUCUCGUAGAGGGGGGUAGAAUUCCAGGUGUAGCGGUGAAAUGCGUAGAGAUCUGGAGGAAUACCGGUGGCGAAGGCGGCCCCCUGGACGAAGACUGACGCUCAGGUGCGAAAGCGUGGGGAGCAAACAGGAUUAGAUACCCCCGUAGUC